rnacentral:rRNA from 1 species
GACGAACGCUGGCGGCGUGCUUAACACAUGCAAGUCGAACGGUAAGGCCCUUCGGGGUACACGAGUGGCGAACGGGUGAGUAACACGUGGGUGAUCUGCCCUGCACUUCGGGAUAAGCCUGGGAAACUGGGUCUAAUACCGGAUAGGACCACUGCCUGCAUGGGUGGUGGUGGAAAGCUUUUGCGGUGUGGGAUGGGCCCGCGGCCUAUCAGCUUGUUGGUGGGGUGAUGGCCUACCAAGGCGACGACGGGUAGCCGGCCUGAGAGGGUGACCGGCCACACUAGGACUGAGAUACGGCCCAGACUCCUACGGGAGGCAGCAGUGGGGAAUAUUGCACAAUGGGCGCAAGCCUGAUGCAGCGACGCCGCGUGAGGGAUGACGGCCUUCGGGUUGUAAACCUCUUUCAGCACCGACGAAGCGCAAGCGACGGUAGGUGCAGAAGAAGGACCGGCCAACUACGUGCCAGCCGCCGCAGUAA